rnacentral:rRNA from 1 species
UGGGGAAUAUUGGACAAUGGGCGAAAGCCUGAUCCAGCCAUGCCGCGUGUGUGAAGAAGGUCUUCGGAUUGUAAAGCACUUUAAGUUGGGAGGAAGGGCAGUAAGCGAAUACCUUGCUGUUUUGACGUUACCGACAGAAUAAGCACCGGCUAACUCUGUGCCAGCAGCCGCGGUAAUACAGAGGGUGCAAGCGUUAAUCGGAAUUACUGGGCGUAAAGCGCGCGUAGGUGGUUCGUUAAGUUGAGUGUGAAAGCCCCGGGCUCAACCUGGGAACUGCAUCGAAAACUGGCGAGCUGGAGUAGGGCAGAGGGUGGUGGAAUUUCCUGUGUAGCGGUGAAAUGCGUAGAUAUAGGAAGGAACACCAGUGGCGAAGGCGACCACCUGGGCUCAUACUGACCCUGAGGUGCGAAAGCGUGGGGAGCAAACAGG